rnacentral:rRNA from 1 species
AACGAACGCUGGCGGCAUGCCUAACACAUGCAAGUCGAACGAGACCUUCGGGUCUAGUGGCGCACGGGUGCGUAACGCGUGGGAACCUGCCCUUAGGUUCGGAAUAACUCCCCGAAAGGGGUGCUAAUACCGGAUAAUGUCUUCGGACCAAAGAUUUAUCGCCUUUGGAUGGGCCCGCGUUGGAUUAGCUAGUUGGUAGGGUAAAAGCCUACCAAGGCGACGAUCCAUAGCUGGUCUGAGAGGAUGAUCAGCCACACUGGGACUGAGACACGGCCCAGACUCCUACGGGAGGCAGCAGUGGGGAAUAUUGGACAAGGGGCGAAAGCCUGAUCCAGCAAUGCCGCGUGAGUGAUGAAGGCCUUAGGGUUGUAAAGCUCUUUUACCCGGGAUGAUAAUGACAGUACCGGGAGAAUAAGCUCCGGCUAACUCCG